rnacentral:rRNA from 1 species
AGAGUUUGAUCCUGGCUCAGGAUGAACGCUAGCUACAGGCUUAACACAUGCAAGUCGAGGGGCAGCAUUUCAGUUUGCUUGCAAACUGGAGAUGGCGACCGGCGCACGGGUGAGUAACACGUAUCCAACCUGCCGAUAACUCGGGGAUAGCCUUUCGAAAGAAAGAUUAAUACCCGAUGGUAUAAUUAGACCGCAUGGUCUUAUUAUUAAAGAAUUUCGGUUAUCGAUGGGGAUGCGUUCCAUUAGGCAGUUGGUGAGGUAACGGCUCACCAAACCUUCGAUGGAUAGGGGUUCUGAGAGGAAGGUCCCCCACAUUGGAACUGAGACACGGUCCAAACUCCUACGGGAGGCAGCAGUGAGGAAUAUUGGUCAAUGGGCGCAGGCCUGAACCAGCCAAGUAGCGUGAAGGAUGACUGCCCUAUGGGUUGUAAACUUCUUUUAUAUGGGAAUAAAGUUUUCCACGUGUGGAAUUUUGUAUGUACCAUAUGAAUAAG